ACCGCCCCUGGCGGCCCAGGGCGGCCGGUGCCGAGUUCUGCGUCGCCUCGAAGUUAGUCGGGCGUGUCGAGCCCGCCAGGCCAGGCCAUUCUCUCCGCAUUGCCUCCCCAGCGGUACUCGGGCCUCCACUCGCUUCGCUGGCGUUAGCACAUUCUGUUUUGACCACACCCGGAAGACUUGGGAAGUGUUCCUCAUCCUUAGAGCUGUCUCUUCAAAAGUUAGUGUCCUUGCUGAUGCUCAAUCAGACUUCUGACCAUAAUUUCUUGUGUCGACUGUCUGCAAAGCACGCCACCUGAAUUAACAACCUAAAAAUGCUUUUGAUGCUGUGGAACUUGCCCACAAUAAAAACAAAAGAAAGAAAAGAAAUCCAGAUAGACUCAGGAAAAGACCUCACUGAAGUCUGACUUCAGCACUACGAGUUCUCAGAUAUCAACCAAGUACUUAAUAAUGCGGGGAGGCUGUUGUUUUGACUUUGGUGGUGGAGAAAGAGCAUUUUGGAGGAGAAUGAUGUGAAUUAGGCUUUGAAGACCAGAAUUGUUCAGCUGCCUAGAAAAGGAACAAGAAGAAACAGAUGGUUGGCCUAACCAGGUCUGGAGAUUGACACGACAGUUGUGAACCAAGAUGAGUGAAAUAAGUCAUUAGGUUGCAGGUCCGGCGAGCACAGUGGGAAGAACUGUCCCUGAGAUUCCUCAGAUUGGAUGGCUCACAACGUGGUGAUGACUGGCAAGGAAACCUCAAGGUAAAUGACUUCCUCUAUUCCCUCAAUCCCAGAGGCAACUGUGCUGCCAAUCUUAUUACCAGGGACAUGGAGUCCUCAGAGGAAAAUGGGACUCUCAUCUGCAUUAGAAGUAAGUUUCCAGGAGAGCCCUGGAAUUUGAAAAUUCCUUGAGGCUCCAGUGUUUAAUUGAGAUAAAUGAGGCCUCCCGGGGCAGUCUGGAUUCAGACAUCCUACUUCUGUGCUGCUUUCUCCCCGACUCCCUCCUUGGCUGGUGGGAAAAAGAAAAACUCCUCCUUCUAAGGUAAAGAAUUUAAGAAUGAGAGCUAUUUGCUGUUUGUUUAAAUCUCUGGUCUUCAAAUUGCAUGGUUCUCUCAUUUUAUUUUUUUGUUUUGUUAUUACUGCUGUGUCUUUUGGCCUCUCUUCCUCUGUGGGGUAAAGUUUGAUCUUUACAAAGGAAGAGGAAGUAUGAGGCUUUAAUUUUUCUAAUUUCUGUUCACUCGUGGUAUAACCUUGCAGGUGUCACUUGACUUCCUGUACCAUAUAGAUUCUUAAUCUAUAAAAGGGCAUGUCAAUAUCUAUUCCCUUUCAUUUGUAAAACAUAACACUGCCAAUUAUUUUAGUUAAAUUCUUUGAUCUCAAUAGAACUUUUCUCUGAUAACUAUGCUAUUUGAUCGUGAAUUUAACACUAGAAUGCACUAUUAGUUUUCAAAUAUUUAAAUUUUAAAUACAAAAGUAUUUAAACCAUACUUACCUUGAUUCCCUGUGUUUGUAUUUCAUUACACUUAAAACAGAUUUUGUGGGUGGUAGAAUAUUUCUGUUGGGGAAUAUGUUGAAUUAUGAGGUUUCAUAUUCAAAAUGUGACUUGAACAAAAUAUACUCUCAUAUUCAUUAAUAAUAUGAAACUAAAUUAGCUUC